rnacentral:misc_RNA from 1 species
UAUAGGUUCAAGAUGUUUCUAGAGAUUAUAAAAGGGAAGUUCAGGAAACAUACUGGAUGAUACUUGAUAAGGUUUUGGAUUAUGGUCAAACGAAUGUUCUCCAAUAAAUCAGGAUCUUCAACUUUGCGCCCGGUAUCCAAUCGUGUAAUAAGAAACUUUGUCUUUUUCACUGAAUCCUGGGUCGUAACAACUCCUUUCACAACAUCCAAGCCCAAGUCUUUGAGUGCCUUCAUCGUGUCAAUGAGAAGACCUAGCCGAUCACCAAAGCUAAUUUCCACAGUGGUUGCAUCGCAUUCAGGAUCCUGAAUUAUCUGAACAAUUGGCAAAGGAAUAGAAACAGAUCCCUGUUCGUCUUUUAAUACUGGUGACAAACUAUCAACACCAUCAAGAGUGCACGAAACAUUGUACCUUCUCCGGCUAGAAACGGAGACAACGGCAUUGGAAAAUGUGAGAAAGGCGGCAGAGGAGUGCAACUUGGCGGCAGCAAAUUGAGGUAGAUUAGGAGAGUACACGCCGGAAUCGGCGUCGGAGAUCGCUGAUCGGAGAGAAGUGCAGAAAGCGCUGGCGAUAGCCAUGAACGAACUGGAGAGAGAAAGAGCGUGA